rnacentral:rRNA from 1 species
UACGUAGGGUCCGAGCGUUGUCCGGAUUUAUUGGGCGUAAAGAGCUCGUAGGCGGCUUGUUGCGUCGUCCGUGAAAUCCCAUGGCUCAACUGUGGGCUUGCGGUCGAUACGGGCAGGCUGGAGUUCGGUAGGGGAGACUGGAAUUCCUGGUGUAGCGGUGAAAUGCGCAGAUAUCAGGAGGAACACCGGUGGCGAAGGCGGGUCUCUGGGCCGAUACUGACGCUGAGGAGCGAAAGCGUGGGGAGCGAACAGG